rnacentral:rRNA from 1 species
CUGGCUCAGGAUGAACGCUAGCUACAGGCUUAACACAUGCAAGUCGAGGGGCAGCAUGUGGUUGCUGCAACCAAUGAUGGCGACCGGCGCACGGGUGAGUAACGCGUAUCCAACUUCCCCUUAGUAGAGGAUAGCCCGGCGAAAGUCGGAUUAAUACUCUAUGUUCUUCAAUGCGGACAUCUAAGUUGAAGCAAAGAUUUAUCGCUAAGGGAUGGGGAUGCGUCUGAUUAGGUUGCAGGCGGGGUAACGGCCCACCUGGCCUACGAUCAGUAGGGGUUCUGAGAGGAAGGUCCCCCACACUGGUACUGAGACACGGACCAGACUCCUACGGGAGGCAGCAGUGAGGAAUAUUGGUCAAUGGGCGCGAGCCUGAACCAGCCAAGUAGCGUGCAAGGACGACUGCCCUAUGGGUUGUAAACUGCUUUUAUCAGGGAAUAAAGUGAGGCACGCGUGCCUUUUUGUAUGUACCUGGUGAAUAAGGACCGGCUAAUUCCGUGCCAGCCGCUGC